rnacentral:lncRNA from 10 species
ACAGGGUCUGGCUCUGUCGCCCAGGCUGGAGUGCGGUGGCGCAGUCAUAGCUCACUGCAGCCUCGACCUCCUGGGUCCAGCGAUCCUUCUGCCCCAGCCUCCCGAGUAGCUGGGACCACAGGCGCCUACACCGUGCCCGUUGGGACUUUUUCGGUGUGAUGCGAAGACUCCCUUCCUGCCCCCAGAGCAUGAGGGUGCUCUGGGAAAAAAUGGGAAACAGACAAGCAUGUGUUACUACGUAAACCUCGCCAAGAGGAACUAAGAGAGCUGCUGUGCGCGGGUCCCGCCCCUGCGCUAUCUCAUUUGAUCCACGCCGCAACCUAUGGGUACCAGUCCGGUUCACGGUGAGGAAACCGAGACUCAGACUUGUGAAGUAAUUUGCCCUGGGUACCCAGUUAGUAAACGGCAGGUCUGUCAGGUUCUGACUCCGGCCUCCCACGUCGGGAGAGAGACAUUUGAAUAUGCAUCAAGUCAGGUGGACAACAUCCGAAACAUGAAAAUGUAGAAGAUUCGCGCGGGCCUGCGGGGCCGUGCGCCGGUGUCUGGCGAUCCUAAUGCAAACGUUGUUAAUCAGGUGUAAAUCCUACGAGGCUUUGAAAGAGGCAGGCAUAAGAAGACGCUGAGGUUCUCCAGGACAAGGACUGGAUUUGCAGGAAGGAGGGAGAGGCUGGGGCACAUUCCCGGUGUUAACAGAGGAAAGGCGGCCUCUUAUGUCUCCACGACCGACCGGAGGCCACAAGGCCUGGGGAGGGGGGCUCGGGCCGAUGAGCCAGGACCGAGGGAGAAGGACAGCCCGCCCCACACACCCCGAAAGCACCAGUGAUGAAACCACACAAGUUUCCUCUUCCAUUUUGAUUGCCAAAGCAAAAAUGAACACCGCCGGUGUCUCAGGUGUGAAAAAAGACUGUUUGCUUUAGAGCAUUUUGCUUUCAAUGAGGAAGAAAAGGGGGACGAUGGGCAAAACACACACACACACACACACACACACACACACACACACACACACACACAUUUCCCUUGAAAUAAAUACAUCAAUGUCUUUUUUUUCCCCGUUCAUGGAGGGUUUUGCCACUCAUCUGUAAGUUUCAGGCACCAGAACAAACUGAAGAGCAUCUCCUCUGGAAGCAAGGAACCUGGAUUUGAAGCCCAGCUCUGCCGUUUACUGGCUUUGACCCCUGGGCAAGUUACUUAACUUCUCAAUGCCUCUGUUAGGAAAAGUCAGUGAGUUAACAUUUGUGAAGUGUUGAGAUUCCUGUCGAACGUGAAGUAGGUGCUACGUAAAUGUUUUUUAAAUUUAAAAAUUAGAUGAUCAUUUUCAGUAUGAAAAGCAACACAAUUCCAUCCAGCUCCAAGCAAAUCCGACUGGAACUGAGGGUUUCCAGCAUGAGCAAUGAGGUAAAUUUCUCAGAUUUCAGGGUAUGGUUCAUAUUAAACUCAUAAAACUCUACUCCCCGUGGGGCUGCCUGAGUCACUCCAUCACAGAGCCACAAGUAUUUCCUGAGCACUACUGUUUUGGAUGCUGGGAGGCAAAGAGAAGCAGAAGGCCUUGGGUGGCAAGAGAAUACAGGUGUCUCUAGAAGGCUGAAGCAGGCUUGUGCCCUGGGAAUGGCACAGAGAGUAAGUGCUGUCAACUUUUAGAAGGACAAGAUAUAGCCAGGGGCAGUGGCUCACGACCUGUAAUCCCAGCACUUUGGAAAACCAAGGCAGGAGGAUCCCUUGAGUCCAGGAGUUCAAGACCAGCCUGGACAACUAGGGAAACUUCAUCUCUACAAAAAAUAAAAAAUAUUAAAUUAGCCAGGUAUGCACCUGUGGUCCCAGCUACUCUAAAGGUUGAAAUGGGAGGGUCACUUGAACCCAGGAUUUUGAGGCUGCAGUGAGCCAUUAUCAUGCCACUGCAUUCCAACCUGAGUGACAGAGUGAGAACCUGUCUCAGAAAAAAAAUAAAUAAAAAAGAGGGAAAUGUGUCUCUGAAUGGGGGAUGGGGGGUGGGGGGGGACGGUGGGGGAGCUCAAGAAGGGAGUGGGCUUUGAAAUGGGACUUAGAUGGAUACAGUUUGACACCAGUGGGAGGAGGCCAGGAACAUGUUGGGCUGAGGGAAGGUCAUCAUCAGUGCACUCGGGGAGAUGCUCAUACUUCACUGGAGCCCCAUUUACUGCUACACUUGUCCCUGGCCAGGACCUGGCCCCAGUUAGAUGACAAAUCCUGCACUAAUGUCCACUCUCUUAUUCCUGGAUCUCCCAGGGCUUCCUCAGAGGGACCCCCACCCCCACCCUCCUCUCAUGUCACCUUGAAGCAGGCGUCAAGUGAGUCUGUGCCCUGCUAUGUUUUGCCAUCCCUUUCUCUCUUUUUGGGGGGACACUUUUUUAUUGUGAUAAAGUAUACAUGACAUAAAUUUUACCAUUUUAAAGUGUAUAUGUAGUGGCAUUCGGUAAAUUCACAAUGUUGUACAACUCUCACCACUGUCUAGUUCCAACCGAUUUUCAUGGCUUCUAAAGUUGACGCCAUACCUAUUAAGCAGUCACCUCCCAUUCUUCUCUUCUCCCAGCCCCUGGUCACCACUAACUUGCUUUCCA